CGGGUUUUAAUUAAUGUAUCCAAUCAAAAUUAACGGAAAUGACAAGUAUGACAUUGCGGCGCCGCCACGAACUAAAACUAAUAUUUUCAAUUUGGUCGAAUAAUCUAAUGUAGUAAUCUGUGGUCAUUGCAUUCAAAAUUUGACGAGUGCAUUCACCAUGUUUUUAGACAUCUUAGCUAAAACCUUAGAAUAUAGAUUAUUAAUGUUCCAAGGCUAAAACGGACCAAAUAUUUGGACCCGAAGCUCAUGAGUUACAGGUACUCCCAAAGAUUCUAAAUGAAAAGUAACUGUCAUGCGCGAGAAUGUCGAGAAUUCCCUUCAAAUACGAUUUUGAUGUUGAUGUUAUUUUGUUCGAAACAACAACAAAAUUUACAUUUUCUGUUGUUUCCCAUUUUAAUUGCAGAGUGGGAUGAAACAGAUGAAAUUUGGUAUUAUUAUAUCAAUUAUCAACAGCUACAAAAAUAUACAAAAUCUUCUGCAGACCAAUUUUUGAGUAUAAACACACUAUACAGAACUGAACUAGUGCCAAUAAGGGAAAGACUGCAAAAAUUUCCAAGGAAAGUCUUCUAAAGGCUACACAACAUAGAACUAAUGUGACCAUUGAUGCGAAUAUGAUAGAAGUUGUUUAUUAUCAUUAUAUUUAUUUGUAGGUUGAUCAAUUAAUGUGAUUUGAUAAUAUGAAAGAGAGUUUUGUA